ACUCGAGAUCAGGAAGGUCGACUCUUUCUGAAAAUCCUGGAACUCGCGGACGGGCUGAACUCAAGGAAUUCGAUCCGGACGUGGAUUUUCAAUGAAAACUGAUGGGAUUUGGAUCAUGGGAGAUGUGGGAGAAUGGCUUGAUGAUUAUCAAUGGAAUUUCGAAUCAAAAUUGAAUGGAAAAAUCAGCACCAUCUAUUUCGAUCUUAUCUCACUCACAUGAACCAUUUAUUGUUUGAAUUUUGAAUUCAAACAAGAUAGGAUCUAUCUUGUUACAACCAACCCCUUCAUGCGUUAAUAAGAUACCAAAUUUCUAUUUGAAUUUCGAAUUCAAAUGAUCAGAUAGCGUUCCUUUAAAAGGAUGAUCUCCUUGUGUCGCCAACACAAUGAAAUUCAGCCUUGUCCAUC
rnacentral:lncRNA from 1 species